GAUCACAUAGCUUUAUCACUGUCUAAAACCUUCGGACAAUCUUACAUCCGCAUUCCCCCCCCCCCUUCGGACAUCCUAAGACAUUUUUCCUCACUCCCCCUUCGGACAGCAUGGGGGGUAUGGAUCUUUUCUGGAACAACCCAUUGACCGAAAGUGCCUAAAUUUCCCAUGAAUUUGCCCUUGGUAACUUGUGCGUUUCAACGAUCAAACUGCGAGGUAAAACUUCCUGUCUCUAAGCUGUG